rnacentral:rRNA from 1 species
GAUGAACGCUCGCGAUAGGCUUAACACAUGCAAGUCGGGGGGCAGCACAAGGUAGCUUGCUCUCUGGGUGGCGACCGGCGCACGGGUGCGUAACGCGUAUGCAACUUGCCCUAUACAGGAGGAUAACCCGUCGAAAGACGGACUAAUACUGCGUAUGCUCACAACUUGGCAUCAAGUGGUGAGGAAAGAAAUUCGGUAUAGGAUAGGCAUGCGUCCCAUUAGCUUGUUGGUGAGGUAACGGCUCACCAAGGCAACGAUGGGUAGGGGAACUGAGAGGUUUAUCCCCCACACUGGUACUGAGACACGGACCAGACUCCUACGGGAGGCAGCAGUGAGGAAUAUUGGUCAAUGGGCGCGAGCCUGAACCAGCCAAGUCGCGUGAAGGAUGACUGUCUUAUGGAUUGUAAACUUCUUUUAUACGGGAAUAACAAGAGUCACGUGUGACUCCCUGCAUGUACCGUAUGAAUAAGCAUCGGCUAACUCCGUG